rnacentral:lncRNA from 1 species
AUGCAGAUGCCGUUUCCUCGCAGUGAGGUCAGAGUUUGUCUCCUCCUCAUCCUCCAGCCGCUCACUCAGCUCCUUCACCUUGGCCUCCAGCUGCACCUUGGACUUGAUCAGAAGGUCACAGCGCUCCUCUGCAUCUGCCAGGUUGUCCUGCUCCUGGGGGGGAAGGGGACAGACGCCGCGAUCAGCACCCCAGGAACCAGAGACAUGAAGCUAGAACUGAGAGGAACCAAGGCUGCAGAAAAGUCAAACUGGGGAUGGCUCCUACUGAUGAACUCCCAAGCAUUUACUGAGUAUCUAUGAUGUUUAAAAGCCUGGGAAAGAAAAAGGGAGAAUUUUUUUUUAGAUUUUUAGAAAUUUUAUUUAAUUAGUUGAUUUAGAAUAUUUUUCCAUGGUUAUAAGAUUCAUGGUCUUUCCCCCCACCCCUCCCCCACCCCCCUGCUCAAAAGGGAGAGAUGUGAUCACAUAUCUGAAGGGAAAGAGGAAGGGAAUGAACAUCUAUUGAGAAUCUGCUGGGGCAACUAGGUAGCAGAAUAGAUAAAGGCCAGUCCUGGAGUCAGAAGGACCUGGACUCAAUCUGGUCUCAGACACUUCCUUAGCUGUGUGAUCCUGGGCUAGUCACCUUACCUCAGUUGCCUACUCCUUGCCAUCCUUCUGUCUUAGAAUUGAUAAGAAGUCAGAAAGUAAGGUUCAAAAAAAAAAAGAGAGAACCUGCUCUGUGCCAUGAACUUUAAAAUCUUGUCUCAUUUAAAACUCAUAACAAUACCUAGAUGUAAGUGCUAUUAUUAUUUCCAUUUUGUAAUUGGGGAAAAUUGAAGCAGAUAGAAAGACUCGCCCAGGGUCAGAUAGUAAGUGGCUGAGCUCGGAUUUGAACUCAAGUCUUCCUGACUUCAGGCCAAGCACUCUACUUAUUGUGCCUACAAGCUGUCUCCAAAAGGCCAUCAUGUAGAAGAGGUAUAAGGGUUACUCCACUUGGUCCUGGGAGGUCAAACUAAGACCAAGGAGGGGAGAGAAGAGAGUAAGAGAAAGAGAGU